UAGGCCUCCCAAAGUGCUGGGAUUACAGGCGUGAGCCACUGCACCCAGGCUGUUUGUAAUUCUUUAAUAUUGUCUGUCUUAGCCAUAUAUCAAGUUGUUUAUAAACAGCAUAAAUUUAUUUCACACAGUUCUGUAAGUUGGAAAUUCCACAAUUAAGUUGUCAGCAGAUUUGAUGUCUAGGGAGGGCCCACUUUCCCAUAAUGACACCCUCUCACUCUGUCUUCACAGGGUGAAAGGGGCUAGCUAGCUUUUUGAGGUCUUUUUGUAAGGGCACUAAUUCCUUUCACAGAGGCUCUGCCCUCCUCAUCUAGUCACCUCCCAAAGGUCCCACCUCCUAAUAGCAUCACAUUAAGGAUUAGGUUUUAAUGUAUGAUUUUUGGAGGGACACAAACAUUCAAACCAUUGCAUAGGUAUAGGAUAUGUAAGACUACAUAUGUAGUAUUUUUCUUGCCCCAUAAAUAUUGUCACAUACCUGAAUAUGUCUGUAUAAAGUGAGGUUGGAUAUAGAGGACAGAUUAUUUUUCUAUUAGUUUAUAAGUUGCCAGAAUAUAGGAUCUGUUACAGAACCUAAUAGAAGAGGGAUGCCCAUUAACCACAGAUUCUGAGAUUUGUGCUGGAAGAGGUAAUAGGAUAGGACCUUGGGCUUUGUCCUUUGGAGGAAGAAUGAGUUCACUUUUUGGAAGCAGAGUGUGCACUGAUAAAUGGUUGCCAUAGGAUGGAUUCUGGCAGCCUACCAGUUAUUCCCUUCCAGUAUUUUCCCCUCUCUUUUUCUGGGCAUGUGGCUACAGAGCUGGGAACGAUUUCUGUUAUCGUCACACGUAUCAGCCAUGUGAGGCUCUGUAGUAAGUUCUCACCAAUGGAAUAUGAACAAAGUAAUGUGUUCAUUAGGUUAAAAGGAGAUUUCUUACUCUGGUCUUGCUCACUUUUCCCUUCCUGCAGACUGAAGUGUAGAUGUGGCAGAGGUGCAGCAUCAGUCAUGCUGAUGAAGACAACAUCCAUGGGAUUGAUGGAGGAAGAAAAUGCACUCAAUAAAAAUUCACAGAGAAAAGCUGCCUUACGAGAUUGCAAGAGGACAACUUGGCUCUAAAAUCGAUGCAUGAACAUGCCAUUGGAAUUGACCUCGCCAAAAGAUGCCUCCCUAAAUCCACAAGAACCUCCUUAUUUGAACACAGUUUCUAAUCCAGCUGUAAUGAAGACAGACAACAGUCAAGUUAACAAGAGGCAUGAAAGAUGAUACAUGGUGAUAAUAAUAUAAAAAGUAGCUGAACGCAGGAUUUUAAGUCUUGGUGAGUUCAAAUAAAUAUUGUAUUCCUGGUAUACAAUCACUUGUCUGAAAUCCUUGGAACCAAAUAUGUUUCAUAAUUCAGCAUGUUUUAGGCUUAAAUAAUUAAGUUUUUAAUGUAACACCUCCAAGAAGCAUUGGAGAAAACCUGCUAAUCAAAUAUGAUUCUUUUUCUGCUCUGAACAAAUGUAUAGUCACAUCAAAGAAGAAAAAUAAUGACCAUAAAAACGUGAUGAAUGAAGUCAAUCAUGUAAGGUUUUACCACAAAGUGUGUUUUAGCACCAAAUUUAUGAAAGCACCAUUUUCUUUUAAAACUUUUAGUGUCUUGGAAUUAUAGAUUAGAGAUUUUGAAAGUGUUACCACUUAAGUGAACAAGAAAUAUAGGAGGGGGUUUCAAAUCACAGGAUACUUGAAUUAGGUAUUUCAGAAAUUAUGCUAUUAUAUUGACAGGUUGAAAAGUAUGGCUAUGAGAUUGGGGGAUAAAGGUGGAAAACAAAUUAUAAUUUAGUUGGUGGGCUACACAAAUUUGGAGACCAGAAUUAUGGGCAACUUUUCCAUAUGGAUAUGGAUCCCAUGGAGGAAAAGGGGUAGAAAGAAAGAGUGUGAACCAAGACUCAAGAACCUCAUAAGUAGAAAAGUGCCUUGGAUAUUUGUAGAUGACAACAAUGAAGGGAAAAUAUGUCUAUUUUUGGUCAAAUAUUCUUUUCUUCAAACUCUUUGGAAUUAUAAAGUUUAUUCUUAUAUUGUAUUUUGGUCCUUAGAAAAAUGACUCACUUUCCCAUCACACAAUUGAAACAUGGAAAAGAAAAUAGACUCAGGAAAUUACAUAAGUCUGUUAAAUAAUUCCAACAAGAAGUCUGUUAACCACCCCGUCCUUCCCAUUCUUGAGCAAACAAAAUAUCACGAGCUUCAAGUACAAGAAAUCAAACUUUGGACUUAGAGCCGGAAGGUUGUACCAUGCACGCUCUCCUUGAGUAAUGACAGUUUAUUUCCCCUCUUUCUUUUCCUUUAAUAAAAAACAAAACACAAUGAAACAAAACUCCAAUGGAAACUUGUAUUAUUCAGGUAACAUGCGUAUUGCCUUUCACAAAAUUAUGCAUUGAGAUGUAUGUACAUUGAGAUAACAGAAAAUAUCAUAUCAUCAAAUCAGAUACAGGAAUCUCAGAUCUUACCCAAUAUCAAACUUUAAUAUUUCUUUCAAAGUAGUAGUCGUGAAGCACAGAUGAAGCGGCAAGUCUAGAGCUACAGAUAUAUUUUCCUAUUUUAUCUCCAGCCUCCUUAAGGAAACAAUGACAUCUAGCUAUAAUAUAUGAGUUUUCUAAGUGCUAUAUGUUAUUAUUGUUUACAUAAAAGGCAGUCAUUUUCAUCAAUAAACAGGCUUAUUUUACAUACCGAAGCUUUCAUGACAUAUUACAGGAAGCUAUAUUCCCUCUUCUCCAAAAUCUAUGGAUUACAAGUUUGUCAUAAGAACUCCUAGUCGAAUAAUGUAUAUGCUAUUAGUAAAUACCAUCAGUAUAUUUUGUUAAAUAUCUUUUAUUAGCAUAUCUUCAAGGGGAUUUGAUCAGAAUGGAUCAUAGGGCUCUGGGUAACUUUUUCUUCUGGAGACAUUUUCCAAGCUCUGUCAAUAUCUCUUUGACACAUAUGUCUCAGUUGUGUUUUUAUGUGUCUUAAAGUUUCCUCAAAAUUUUAUUCAAAAAAAUGUACUUCAAACCCCAAUGUCCAUCUGGAUUUGAAACAAAACAGGGUUCAGGAGUUAUUGCCAUAAUCUUUUUAUUAAUAGCUGUGUUCCUUCUAAGACCUUUUAAUUGUGUAUUUCUAGCCCAUUUUUUUUUGUUUUUUAUUCAUAGUCAUUUGAAUAUUUGUAAGAUUAUAAUAGGGCAUGCAGUGUUUUAAAAGCCAAAUGUAUUUUUCUAGCCAGUAAGUCUUCAUAAGUAUUACAUUAAUUAGAGACUUUAAAUAAGCUUCCAGAAAUAUUCACUCUUUCUAUGAUUCAUGGUGUACAAAAGUCUGAAUUACAUUUAAUUUUGACAAUAAAAUUAUAACCUUUUUGUUAUAAUGCAUACAUGUAGCAGAAAGUAAAGCAAUGUUUUACAUACCAUACAUCAAUUAAAAUUACAGUACCAUUCUUCAGUUCUUUGCAGCAGAUGUGACCUUUGACCAUGUACUGCAUAUUCCCAGUCACAGGUCCUUUGACCAGAUGAUACUGACCAGUAAGUUUAGGUUGUGCUGGUUUGUGAAUGUAAGCAUAUUUCAGAUAUCUUCUGCAGGAUUCUAUAGAUAUUGAUUUCCAGGUGUCAUGUUGGUCACUAUUCAUCCACUCCUGUAACAACAACUUGAUGGUGUUUUUUUGUUUUUGUUUGUUUUUUUCCCUCUAUCCACUGCCAGCCAGUUGCUACAAGAAGUCAAAUUCCCUUUUUAAUUAUGUUAGUCAAUUCUAUAUUAUAUAUAAAGACUACAUUUUUCAGAGAUAUUCUGCCCUGAGACUUACAUUACUGUAUUCUAGCAAUCCUACCUUUUAAAUAUAUUUAUUACAUACUAUUUAGAAUGUCAAUAGUUCUUUCUGUGUGAUAGUUUAAGAAUGCUGUUGCCAUUGCCAGUGGUAUCAUUCAAAAUGGAAAAAAGUUCAGGACUAUCACCACCAAAUUGGAAGUGCUUUCA